UCUAACCCUAAGGGCAUUGCAGGUGUGGUUGUGUCACAUGUGUGUCAGUAAGUGGCAGAGAGAAGAGAGGCUAUGUCUACACUCAGGGUUCUAAUCUGUGAACAUCUGAAUGAUUAGUAGUCUAACAUU